UCGGGAUAACACCUAGGAAACAGAUGCUAAUACCGGAUAACAACAGAUGAUGCCUAUCAACUGUUUAAAAGAUGGUUCUGCUAUCACUCUUGGAUGGACCUGCGGUGCAUUAGCUAGUUGGUAGGGUAACGGCCUACCAAGGCGAUGAUGCAUAGCCGAGUUGAGAGACUGAUCGGCCACAUUGGGACUGAGACACGGCCCAAACUCCUACGGGAGGCAGCAGGA
rnacentral:rRNA from 1 species